rnacentral:miRNA from 1 species
GACCAAAAUUGAUGGUGUUUAUGACGUCGAAUAUCGACGUCAUAAACACCAUCAUGUUUGGUAUUGAUGACGUCGAUAUUCGACGUCAUAAACACCAUCAAGU